UUUAAUGGAAAUGCAUUGGAACGGGACUGGAGAUUUUGUCCGAAAUAGGCGAAACCGUUAUAAAAAAAAUCCGAUAUAUGCAAUUAAUUUUUAUUGGAAAUGCAUUACAGAAAAAUCGGUUCUUUUUUAUCUGUCCGUUGUGAGCGAAUUUCCGAUAUAUCCGAGUCCGAUAUAUCCGAGGUUUACUGUAUAUUUAGUGAAUAUAUAAUACAUAAUGUUUUAUUCCCGUCCACAUAAAAAUACUGUAUAUUACAACCUA